rnacentral:rRNA from 1 species
CCUACGGGAGGCUGCAGUGGGGAAUAUUGGACAAUGGGCGAAAGCCUGAUCCAGCCAUGCCGCGUGUGUGAAGAAGGCCUUCGGGUUGUAAAGCACUUUCAGUGGGGAAGAAAGCCUUGGGGCUAAUACCCUCGAGGAAGGACAUCACCCACAGAAGAAGCACCGGCUAACUCCGUGCCAGCAGCCGCGGUAAUACGGAGGGUGCGAGCGUUAAUCGGAAUUACUGGGCGUAAAGCGCGCGUAGGCGGUCUGAUAAGCCGGUUGUGAAAGCCCCGGGCUCAACCUGGGAACGGCAUCCGGAACUGUCAGGCUAGAGUGCAGGAGAGGAAGGUAGAAUUCCCGGUGUAGCGGUGAAAUGCGUAGAGAUCGGGAGGAAUACCAGUGGCGAUGGCGGCCUUCUGGACUGACACUGACGCUGAGGUGCGAAAGCGUGGGUAGCAAACAGGAUUAGAUACCCUAGUAGUC